AGGUAUUUAUGGAUUACUAAAAGUGAAUUAAGAUUAAUAAAAAUGAAAAUAUGACUGGAGCUGUGGUAAAUACAAUUUAGCUGCUGCAGUGAUGGAAGAUUUAGAAGUCUUGGAAUAAAUAAGUGGAUGGAGUGCAAUGAAGGAGUCCUUUGGAACGCAGGUUCAUUUAUGCACGCCUGGUCUGCCCAAGUCAGAUAAGUGAGAGAAACAGAGCAAAGCAAGAUCUCCAGGCACCUAUAGUUUUGGAAAUUUUCUAUUCUCAUUGGUUAAUAACAGUGCCACGCAACUGUGUCUGCUGCAAACAAGAAAGCUGUGGGCAACUGUGAGCUGUCCCUGAUCUGCUAUCCAAAAGACAGCCCCCCUGUUUUCUAGUUGGCCUCUCCUGAUGAGCUACAACUCCCAGAAGACAUCGAUGGCUUUUCAGGCUCGGAGAGCUGCACAGUCUCUGCCCCAAACUAGAGAUGCAGCUGAAGGGGAAAGCAAACUAGCAGGGUAGGACAAGCACAAGAAGCACUCUGACUAUAAUUACUGUGAGCAUUGUCCUCUCAGGUGUGCGGUGUUACUUUUUUGCAAGAAAGAAUUCUAAAUCUGGCAGCAGUCUGUGAUCCUGCUCAGAGGUUUAAAUAAGUUUGGAGUCUGAAGAAGCUUCAUGCACAAGAGCAAAACAGUUGCAUCAGACUGGUUCCAGUCUGGGUUAAAUAUGCCUGGCCCUUCCUGUAUUGCAGAUCAAGAGUUCAAGUAUAAAAUGACAUUAUGUUUUAAAUUGGUAGUUUCAGUGUAAGCAGCAGCUGUAAGUGCAAAAAGCAAUGAUAUUACCAUCACACCCCUAACAGUCAAAACUGUUUGGAAAUCUCAUUUGUUUUUCAUUAGUUACCGCAACAGUUUGAAUAAAAUCCUGUUCAAUCUCAGCAAAGAGUACUUUGGAAAUGUUAGUCUGUUAUUCUUUAAACAAAGUUCAGCAGCUAUUAACAGAGUACUUGUUUAUGAUCUUCUAUAAAUAUUAUGUUUCUGUACUUCUUUGAAAAUGUGGACUUUUUAAUUUCAUUUUUAUUUUAGUAAAAACUGUAAAAUUAUGACUCACCAGCUGCAGAGUGCCAAGACAGGAUAUUUCCCAAUAUAUGGGGCAAACAACAUUUUUAUGUAUUUUUGUUACCAAUCAUAUAAAACCCAGCUUAUUUUUAUAAAUGGCUCCAUAGGCCUGCACCAUAAAAAUUGCAUAUAAUUUUAUCCCAGUUUUCAGGGGUUUUGGUGCCCAUUACCUAGGAAAUGUAAACUC